GGGAGGGCGUUGAAAAUGGUGUCCCUACCUCCAUCACAACCUGCAUGUGACCUCUGAUGUGAGCUGCUGCUCCCCAGCAUUAAACAAGAAUCUCUUGGUCACUUGCCUGAAAUGUCAACAAACAUCAGAACUCCAUCAAAACAUUUCACUGACGGCCGUUCCGGAGAGAAAUCUCCGUAGACGAUGAGGUCUGAACAGAACAAAACAAAAAGAAGAAAUACAAAGAGGAGAAGGAGUGCAGUGCUGGCUGCUGGCAGAGUCUUAGGGCGGAGCAUGCCACAUUCCUGGAACAGGUGACACAGGAGAAAACAAUCAGAAACAUGGCUGCUAAUCUUGGUUUGGUUCCCAGUCAUCAGGAAGGAACUGGCUGGUCCCUCCUACUGACUUGUGCUUAGGCUGAGGCCUGUCUACUAGGCUGUGCCGCCAUUGCUGAUUCGUGAUUGCUAUUCCGACUCUACCAAACUGGACUGCGGGAGUAUCCAUGAAAUGUUUGCAAGUGGAUUGAGCUGCUGCUGCUGACCUGUGAACUGAACUGCAGAUUUCCAGACAACACAGACAGGAGUUGCUCCAAAGAAUCUUUCUAAAUAGGCUCACUUCCCCCAUCUUCCUUUUCCACUAAAUCUGGUGGGUGGUGGGCUAAAUGGAAGGUUAAAGCAUUUAAGAACCAUUAUUUAAAGCGAGACUUGAAAACAAUUAAAGUUACAUUUAUGUUCAGAGCCAGAAACCUUUUCAUACUCUGUAUUGUUGUGUUCUUAUGUGGAUUUUUGAUUUUGACUAAUGAUGCAACACACACAUUCCAACAGUUUAUACAGCUUUUAAAUUCUCAAGAUUCGUCUCCAGUCUUUCUAAUUUUGUGUCUGUUUAGGUUUGAUGCUUCAACAGAGGCAUCUCUGAGGUUAGUUUUAUAAGGUGUACCUUGGGAGGAUUCAUGAGGCAUUUUGGCAAAUUCAUUACAUUUAUCAGACUUCCCUUGGCUAUUCACACGCUCAUGGGCACAAUGCUUUGUGCCUUGAUCCAAGACCUUCUCAUCUCUGUGAGAUACAUGAUGACUCUCCACAAACAAUAGAUUGUUGUAAUUCUCCAACAUCACAUCCACAUAUAGUGCCCUCUGAGUACAGUUGAGACAUUCCCAUUCCUCCAUGAGAAGUCCACAGCCAUGUCCCUGAGUGUUAACAGACCCUGGGAAGCAUUUUCCAGGGAAGCAUUCAUUCUUCUUGUUGUUCUUCUCUGGGUUUCUGUCUCAGGAACAAAGACUGGAAUUCUGGAUCCUUCCUUACAGUCUCCUCUGUCUUCACCAUCCAGGGCUCUUAGUUCCGAUUCAGAAGUGAGCAGGUCUGGCUGAGCAGUGCGAUACCUGAGACACUUGCUGCUGUCCUCUUUCUCUUCCCCUUCCAGGGCUCUUUAUACUUUAUAAAUGACAAGGUCUGGUUUAUCAGUGAGACCUGGCUUUGAGGUCCUAUGAUCAAGCUCCACCCAGUGUUGAAAGAGAUCCUCUUCCUGGCUGUCUUUGGAUCAAGAUAUAGAACUCACAGCUCCUUUGGCACCAUGUC